UACGUAGGGUGCGAGCGUUAAUCGGAAUUACUGGGCGUAAAGCGUGCGCAGGCGGUUUUGUAAGUCAGAUGUGAAAGCCCCGGGCUUAACCUGGGAAGUGGCAUUUGGGGACUGCAAGGCUUGAGUGCGGCAGAGGAGACUGGAAUUCCUGGUGUAGCAGUGAAAUGCGUAGAUAUCAGGAGGAAUACCGAUGGCGAAGGCAGGUCUCUGGGCUGACACUGACGCUCAUGCACGAAAGCGUGG
rnacentral:rRNA from 1 species